AACCAUUCUCAAUUUCAAUGUAUAUACCUAUUUUUGGUAUAGACACAUAGGGAAGAAGAACAAAAGACUUUCGGGCCUAAAAAUGUUACAUUAGGGAUAUAAUUCUGGGGGAGACAUGGGAAGGCACAGAACCCGGGUCAGCCCUCAUUUCUCCCUCUCCACACUGAGUUUUAGGUGCUGGAGGCCAUAUGAUGAUUGCUGUUCUCAGUUUCUGUGAGGUCAUCCCUCCAGUGACAGAGAACAGGAACAAGGCCACACUACAAGGAGGGUGAGCUGGAUGUGAGGAGGGAGACGAGCUGAUAUUCUCCUCCCAUCUGCUUCUGUGAUCUGACCGUUGUUUAUUUCUCAUUCAGCAUGCUGUAUCUGCCGUCCUGGGGUAGAAGGUUUGGAGAAAGCUGAGAAGGUUGAAAAUAGCCACUGGAGCACGAGAGGAACAGCUGGCCAGGAAAACAUCGAUGUCAAGUUCCGAUCUGUGGGGUGGUGAGCUUUCCUCCAGCAGCUCACAACAACAGGCGGAUAGUUGGUUAGAUCCAGCUUGGGGUCUGGGGCAAUGGACAGAAGGGCAAGGGAACCAGGGAGGUGAAGGUCUCGGUAGGAGAGAAUCAGGGGUGAGGAACCACCUCACGCUUCCCGGAUGGGGAACAGAGCGGGCAUGCCUGGUUGACAGUAAAGGAAGGUCUCAAGUUCCUGGAGGUCUAAAAAAAAAUUUUUUUUUGGUUUAUUUAUCCAUUUUGAGAGAGAGAGAGAGGACAAAUAGGGGAAGGGCAGAGAGAGAGGAAGAGACAAUCCCAAGCAGGUUCUGUCCUGUCAGAGUGGGGCUUGAAUCUACGAACUGUGAGAUCAUGACUUCAGCCAAAACCAAGAGUUGGAGGCUUAACCUGACUGAGCCACCCAGGCGCUCCAUCAAGUACCUGGAGGUCUUGAUGGAAUUGGAGAGAGAUGUAGUGGGUGAAAGGGAUUUAAAGCAGGGAGGGAGGGCUUGCCAUCCAAUAAAGGGUAUG